AGUGAACGCUGGCGGUAGGCCUAACACAUGCAAGUCGAACGGCAGCACAGUAAGAGCUUGCUCUUACGGGUGGCGAGUGGCGGACGGGUGAGGAAUACAUCGGAAUCUACUUUUUCGUGGGGGAUAACGUAGGGAAACUUACGCUAAUACCGCAUACGACCUACGGGUGAAAGCAGGGGAUCUUCGGACCUUGCGCGAUUGAAUGAGCCGAUGUCGGAUUAGCUAGUUGGCGGGGUAAAGGCCCACCAAGGCGACGAUCCGUAGCUGGUCUGAGAGGAUGAUCAGCCACACUGGAACUGAGACACGGUCCAUGCUCCUACGGGAGGCAGCAGUGGGGAAUAUUGGACAAUGGGCGCAAGCCUGGUCCAGCCGUACCGCGUGGGUGAAGAAGGCCUUCGGGUUGUAAAGCCCUUUUGCUGGGAAAGAAAAGCAGCAGGUUAAUACCCCGCUGUUCUGACGGUACCCAAAGAAUAAGCACCGGCUAACUUCGUG
rnacentral:rRNA from 1 species